CGCCAGACUCCUACGGGAGGCAGCAGUGGGGGAUAUUGCACAAUGGAGGAAACUCUGAUGCAGCGACGCCGCGUGAGGGAAGACGGUCUUCGGAUUGUAAACCUCUGUCUUUGGGGAAGAAAAUGACGGUACCCAAAGAGGAAGCUCCGGCUAACUACGUGCCAGCAGCCGCGGUAAUACGUAGGGAGCGAGCGUUGUCCGGAAUUACUGGGUGUAAAGGGAGCGUAGGCGGGAGAGCAAGUCGACUGUGAAAUCUAUGGGCUUAACCCAUAGCUGCGAUCGAAACUGUUCAUCUUGAGUGAAGUAGAGGCAGGCGGAAUUCCUAGUGUAGCGGUGAAAUGCGUAAAUAUUAGGAGGAACACCAGUGGCGAAGGCGGCCUGCUGGGCUUUAACUGACGCUGAGGCUCGAAAGCGUGGGUAGCAAACAGGAUUAGAUACCCGGGUA
rnacentral:rRNA from 1 species